rnacentral:rRNA from 1 species
AUUGAACGCUGGCGGCAGGCCUAACACAUGCAAGUCGAGCGGAUGAAGGGAGCUUGCUCCUGGAUUCAGCGGCGGACGGGUGAGUAAUGCCUAGGAAUCUGCCUGGUAGUGGGGGAUAACGUCCGGAAACGGGCGCUAAUACCGCAUACGUCCUGAGGGAGAAAGUGGGGGAUCUUCGGACCUCACGCUAUCAGAUGAGCCUAGGUCGGAUUAGCUAGUUGGUGGGGUAAAGGCCUACCAAGGCGACGAUCCGUAACUGGUCUGAGAGGAUGAUCAGUCACACUGGAACUGAGACACGGUCCAGACUCCUACGGGAGGCAGCAGUGGGGAAUAUUGGACAAUGGGCGAAAGCCUGAUCCAGCCAUGCCGCGUGUGAAGAAGGUCUUCGGAUUGUAAAGCACUUUAAGUUGGGAGGAAGGGCAGUAAGUUAAUACCUUGCUGUUUUGACAUUACCAACAGAAUAAGCACCGGCUAACUUCGUG